rnacentral:ncRNA from 2 species
CUCUUAUUCAGAGUGGUGGAGGUACAUAGGACCUGUGAAGCCACGGCAACCCCGAUAUGGAAGGUGCCAACCUGAGCGAGCAAGCAGCCUUACGGCAAUCGAACAAUAAGAG